AGUGAACGCUGGCGGCGUGCCUAACACAUGCAAGUCGAACGGGCUAGUGCUUCGCACUAGUCUCUUUCUGGGGUUGUUACUCUAAGGCUACCUGCUAAGGUUAUUGCUUUAAAGCAGGGGUUUUAGGAGACUUUCCCCGAAAGGGGCCAGUGCGGAGCACUGGCCAGUGGCGAACGGGUGAGUAACACGUGGGUAAUCUACCCUCGAGUGGGGAAUAAGCUUCCGAAAGGGGGUCUAAUGCCGCAUAACGUUUCAUAACGAUGGUUAUGAACCAAAGCCCAAAAGGCGCUCGAGGAGGAGCCUGCGUCCUAUCAGCUUGUUGGCAGGGUAAUGGCCUACCAAGGCUAUGACGGGUAGCCGGUCCUGAGAGGGUGUCCGGCCACACCUGGGAACUGAGACACGGUCCAGACUCCUACGGGAGGCAGCAGUGGGAAUUUUGCGCAAUGGGGGAAACCCUGACGCAGCGACGCCGCGUGGAGGAUGACGGCCUCGGUUGUAACGUCCUGUCUAGAGGACGAAUACCGCAAGGACG
rnacentral:rRNA from 1 species